GGAGUAACGCGUGAGGAACCUGCCUCAAAGAGGGGGACAACAGUUGGAAACGACUGCUAAUACCGCAUAAGCCCACAGCUCGGCAUCGAGCAGAGGGAAAAGGAGUGAUCCGCUUUGAGAUGGCCUCGCGUCCGAUUAGCUAGUUGGUGAGGUAAUGGCCCACCAAGGCGACGAUCGGUAGCCGGACUGAGAGGUUGAACGGCCACAUUGGGACUGAGACACGGCCCAG
rnacentral:rRNA from 1 species